rnacentral:rRNA from 1 species
UUAUUUUCAGGAAGCUUUCGGGUGGAAUGAACUUAACUUAGCGGCGGACGGGUGAGUAACGCGUGGACAACCUACCCUGUACAGGGGGAUAACAAUGGGAAACCAUUGCUAAUACCCCAUAACACCUUUUAGGGGCAUCCCUUUAAGGUCAAAGAAUUUCGGUACAGGAUGGGUCCGCGUCUGAUUAGCUAGUUGGUGAGGUAAUGGCUCACCAAGGCGACGAUCAGUAGCCGGCCUGAGAGGGUGAACGGCCACACUGGAACUGAGACACGGUCCAGACUCCUACGGGAGGCAGCAGUGGGGAAUAUUGCACAAUGGGCGAAAGCCUGAUGCAGCAACGCCGCGUGAGCGAUGAAGGCUUUCGGGUCGUAAAGCUCUGUCCUAAGGGAAGAUAAUGACGGUACCUUAGGAGGAAGCCCCGGCUAACUACGUGCCAGCAGCCGCGGUAAUACGUAGGGGCAAGCGUUAUCCGGAAUCAUUGGGCGUAAAGGGUGCGUAGGCGGCCCUAUAGGUCAGAGGUCAAAGGCUACGGCUCAACCGUAGUAAGCCUUUGAAACUGUAGGGCUUGAGUGCAGGAGAGGAGAGUGGAAUUCCUAGUGUAGCGGUGAAAUGCGUAGAUAUUAGGAGGAACACCAGUGGCGAAGGCGACUCUCUGGACUGCAACUGACGCUGAGGCACGAAAGCGUGGGGAGCGAACAGGAUUAGAUACCCUGGUAGUCCACGCCGUAAACGAUGAGUGCUAGGUGUCGGGGGUCGAACCUCGGUGCCGCAGCUAACGCAUUAAGCACUCCGCCUGGGGAGUACGUUCGCAAGAAUGAAACUCAAAGGAAUUGACGGGGACCCGCACAAGCAGCGGAGCAUGUGGUUUAAUUCGAAGCAACGCGAAGAACCUUACCUGGACUUGACAUCCCUCGGACCGCUUUUUAACCAAAGCCUUCCCUUCGGGGACUGAGGUGACAGGUGGUGCAUGGUUGUCGUCAGCUCG